rnacentral:miRNA from 1 species
UGGGAGCUAAGCUAUGGGUAU